CAUUCAUCUACCACAGUCAAAAAGACAGGAGAGUGGCAUGUACAGAUGACAAGGAACUCUGGUUAUGCUUUAAAAGCAUUUAUCUGGGUUUCCUGGGAUUGUGGAAAGGUUUACAGGUAGGAAGAGUAUGAGCAUCUUCCAUUUUAACUUUGCAAGAAGGGACAGACACACAUAGUCACCACCUAACACAGAAGAACUACAGGGCAGGGAAAUUGACCCCUGUAAGGGAAUUGACAUGAUCCAAGGACCUUGAACAGAGCCUGGUACACAACAGCCAGUUCACUAGUACCCCAUUGACAGCAUACAGACACCCCUAGGUCGGCAAUGAGAAACACAAGAUCUGCACAAGAAAGGUUUAUUGAUUCCUACUACAAAGGACCUACCCACCAAGUUAGAAAGGCC
rnacentral:lncRNA from 1 species